rnacentral:rRNA from 1 species
UACGUAGGGAGCAAGCGUUGUCCGGAUUUAUUGGGCGUAAAGAGCUCGUAGGCGGUUUAGCAAGUCAGGUGUGAAAACUCCAGCUCAACCUGGAGACGCCACUUGAUACUGCUAUGACUUGAGUUUGGUAGGGGUAAGCGGAAUUCCUGGUGUAGCGGUGAAAUGCGCAGAUAUCAGGAGGAACACCGAUGGCGAAAAGCAGCGUGCUGGACCUUUUCUGACGCUGAGGCGCGAAAGCCAGGGGAGCAAAGCGGG